rnacentral:lncRNA from 1 species
AGUCCCUGGAAGCUCUGGGAGUUCAGCUGAUUGGUAUUUUUGUUCUUCCUAUGGGGUUGCAAACCUCUUCAAAUCCUUCAGCCCUUUCUCUAACUCCUCUUUUGGGGACCCCAUGCUCAGACCAAUGGUUAGCUGUGAGCAUCUGCCUUUGUAUUGGUAAGGCUCUGGCAGGGCCUCUCAGGAAACAGCUCUAUCAGGCUACUGUCAGCAUGCACUAGUUGGCAUCCAUGAUGGUGUCUGGGUCUGGUAACUGUAUUGGGAUGAAUUCUCAGAUGGGACAGUCUCUGGGUGGCCUUCCCUUCAGUCUCUGCUCUAUACUUUAUCUCCAUAUUUAUUCCUGUGAGUGUUUUGUUUUCCUUCUAAGAAGAAUGGGAGCACCCACACUUUGGUGCUCCUUCUUCUUGAGCUUCAUGUGGUCUGUGAAGUGUAUCUUGAGAAUUUGGAGCUUUUGGGCUAAUAUCCACUUAUCAGUGAGUGGAUAUCAUGUGUGUUCUUUUUGUGAUUGGGUUACUGCACUCAGAAUGAUAUUUUCUAGUUCUAUCCAUUUGCCUAAGAAUUUCAUGAAUUCAUCCUUUUUAAUAGCUGAGUAGUGCUGGGAGCCAUGGCCUCAGCCAUGGCCUUGUGGAAAUUUUCUAGCUUACAUAACCAGCCCUGGGAGAACAUUUGUGGUCAAAACAGAAAGAAUAUUUGUGAGUGGAGAGGGCACUGUUACCAUUGCUUCCAGGAGCUGAAGAUUGCCACCUGACGUUCAGAGAGACCCGGGUUCUUCCCAACCUCCCUUGAAGCCUCUUCUUUCUUAUGCUUAUAUUUCCACCCCAGAAUAAAGUUUUUCAGAGCUUGAUCAG